UCCAGACUUUAAAUGAGUUUGGGUUUGCAGGUCCACGUGAACCCGAGCCAGUCUGUGUUAGUGCUGGAAGGAGACGACAUCGAGAGCUUCAACCGUGCGGUGCAGCAGGUCACCUACAGGAACUCGCUUCGAUUUGCCACCCCUGGAGUCCGUCCGCUAAAGCUCACCACUUCACUCAGUAAAAUCCGAUGUGAAUUCCAGGCCAAAAGGAAAAAUCACACAUUAAAUGAAAAUGAUUGUUUUUA